ACCGCCCGCCCAGGCAACCUGGAACCAGGGUCGUGCCCUACGGCAGAAUGUGGGGGGCCUUGGGUCUGGCGCUGCGUGCUCACCCCCUCUCAGAGUGGGAGUCCUGGCUCCUGACUGCCCUGACCUUCUUCCUACCACUGGGCCCAUGAUGGGGGUCCCCAACUUUCAAGAACACAGGGGAUGCGCCUUCUCAGGAAACACGUCCCCUCGCCAGGCCCCUGGGAACAGUCACAACCACGACGCCUGUCCCCGAAGCGCCCGCGCAGCUCCACGGGAUUCCAUGUUGUCACCCACUGGAUCCUGGACGCCAUCAGCCCGCAGCAGGGUUUCCAGACCACAGAAACCGCCUGUUGGGGUGCGGGGCGUUACACGUCCCCUCGCAGCGCCCCGCUGGGCUUCUGGGCCGCCCCGCCCCCACCCCGCGCCCGGACGCUGACGUCACUGGCCGAGCCAGACUCGGAGCCGCCGCCCGAGAGUCACGCGCGCCUCCCGGCGGGACGCGCCCUCUGCAGAGAUCCCUCCGCCGCCGCCUGGAAUUUUCCAGACGUCCUGCCGGCCCUUCUUUCGGGCCUCGUCGGGGCGUGGUGACCUGAGGCGACCCCGGCGGCUCCCGUUGCCCACUUAGGAGGGCGCCCCCGCCCGCCUCUUCCUGAGCCCCUCUCUCUGGGAAGCGCGCCCCGCCCGACCCAACACCCAGGAAGAAAGUCUUCUUCGUCAUGGCAUCCGCCUUCCAAAUGUCACCUUGAGCGCUGUUCGCGAUCCCAAAAAGCACUGCUAAGGAGAAGCGGGGAUAAACUGGGGUCCUUGCGUCGGGGGCGCCUGGGAGACCAUGCACCGCCCGGGUUGUCUCCCCGGGCCGGGUCGGGGAGGGACUUUUUUUCCGGUGGCCGUGGAGGAAUCGUCCCGUUGAACAGUGACCCCGGUGACGCGGCCGAGGGCUAUAAAAGCAAAAGUUGUGGCCGGUCCAGCAGAAGUUAGCGAUAGGGAGGGAUGCGUACUUGGGUCUAGUUGUGGGGGAGGAAGUGACCAGUUCAGGGUCUCGGGACAGACCGGGAGAGAUGGUUGAGUUACAUGAGACUGGGGGCCCUGGGAGUACGAGAAGGAAGCUUGACAAGGAGACUAGGUCUGAAGAAACCACAGUGGGGCAGGCUGCGUGGUGGAAAAUGCCCGCAGGAGCCCCCAGAGAGGACAGCCAUGCUCCAGGCCAGGCUGUCCCUACUGCCUGCUGGAGAGGGAACUUGACCUCUGGGAGGGAGCCGCUCUUGCAUGGCUGAGCGAGCCCCCGUGCGCUGGUCUGUGUGGAAGGAGGAAGGCAGGGAGAGGUAGAAGGGGUGGAGGAGCCAGGAGGAAUGAAUGGGCUGCUGCGGCCCUGGAAACGAUCAGGAAGGCAGGCAGUGGGUGCAGGGCUGCAGAAGGGCCGGGAGGGCCGAGCUUCAACUUGUCCAUGCCAGCGGCCCCUUUUUUUCCAGACCAAGGGCUGUGAACCCGCCUGGGGAUGAGGCCUGGUCUUGUGGAACUGAACUUAGCUCGGCGGGGCUGACCGCUCUGGCCCAGGGUGGUAUGUAAUUUUCGCUCGGCCUGGGACAGGGCCCAGGCCGGGCCCAGCCUGGUGGAGCGUCCAGGUCUGGGUGCGAAGCCAGGCCCCUGGGCGGAGGUGAGGGGUGGUCUGAGGCGUGAUGUGGAGUUAAGGCGCCAUCCUCACUGGUGACUGGUGCAGCACCUAGCAUGUUUGACAGGCGGGGACUGCGAGGCACGCUGCUCGGGUGUUGGGACAACAUUGACCAACGCUUUAUUUUCCAGGUGGCAGUGCUCCUUUUGGACUUUUCUCUAGGUUUGGCGCUAAACUCUUCUGUGAGCUCACUCCACCCCUCCUCCUCCCUUUAACUUACCCAUUCACUUAAAACAUUACCUGGUUGUCUGGUAAGCCCGGGACAGUAGCCGAGUGGCUUUUGGAGUCGGUAUUGUUGGUAAUGGUGGAGAAAGAGAGGCCUUCCCGCUGAGGCUGGGGUGGGGCGGAUCGGUGUUGCUUGCCUGCAGAGAGGGUGGGGAGUGAAUGUGCACCCCUGGGUGGGCCUGCAGCCAUCCAGCUGAAAGUCAUAAAAAUGCCUUAUAGACCGUGGUUUGUUACUAUAGUGUUCCUCAUGGCGAGCAGAUGGAACCGGGAGACAUGGAGCCCCUGGCCAGUGUGAGUCCUAGCAGUGCAGGAGGGGAGACCAUGGAGGAGAGAGCCCGCCUCAAUUGAUGCCUGCAGAUUGAAUUUCCAGAGGCUUAGGAGGAGGAAGUUCUCCAAUGUCGUGUUUCCAGGCCUUGCUGGGGAAGCCCUGUAUUCAGGAGGCAACCAUUUAAAGUUUUCAGAUGAGCUUAUGGGGGGCAAUCUUAAAAUAUCCACAGCAGAUGCAUCCGGCUCGAGGUGCCAUCAGCUUUGAAUAAAUGCUUGUUCCAGAGCCCAUGAAUGCCAGCAGGCACCCCUCCUUUCCUGGGGUAAAGGUUUUCAGAUGCUGCGUCUUCUAAAUUGAGCCUCCGGUCAUACUAGUUCUGUGCUUGGAACCUUGCUUCAAGAAGAUCCCUAAGCUGUAGAACAUUUUAACGUUGAUGCCACAACGCAGAUUGAUGCCUUAUAGAUGGAGCUUGCAGAUGGAGCCCCGUGACCUCUCACCUACCCCCCCUGUUUGCCUGCCUGCCUAUGCGUUGCUCGGAGAAGUUCUUAGCCUGAUGAAAUAACUUGGGGUGUUGGAAAGCUGUUUAAUUUUAAAUGCCUUAGACGGGGGAUGUAUUAGAGGAAGCAGAUUGUCGAGAGUGUCAUUGUGUUAUGCUAAACUCUGGGAGGGUACAAAUUGGUCAUUCCCAAAUCUGUGUGUGAAAAAUGGCAGGUCUAGUUUGGGCAUUGUGAUUGCAUUGCAGAUUACUAAGAGAAGGUAAUGGUGGGUAUACCGGUAGUGCUCUUUUGUUCUUGCUUCGUUUUUUUGCACCUGAACUUCGUUAGAUUUCAUAAUGCUUUUUUGGCAUUUUAAUAAGAGGACCCUGAGGUGGGAGUUGUGGGAGACCGGGAGAAGGGGACAGCUUGGCACUGGUCACGUGGGAUUUGCAGUGUGGGGGAUGGGGGUGUGCAGCUUGGCACUGGUACUGGGAGGGAUGAAGGUGAGGAAGGGGAGAGGGUUGGUUAGGUAUAUAGUGUGGGUGGUAGGAAAUGCAGGUUGAAGGGAAAUUCUCUGGGGCUUUGGGGAGUUUUGUGCGGUGGGUGAGCCAAGAAAAUACUAAUUAAUAAUAGUAAGUGUUGGUUAAGUUGUUGCUUGGAAGUGAAAAGUUGCUUAGAAAGGUUAGAACUU
rnacentral:lncRNA from 1 species